UACGAAGGGGGCAAGCGUUGUUCGGAAUUACUGGGCGUAAAGGGCGCGUAGGCGGCUUACCAAGUCAGGCGUGAAAUUCCCGGGCUCAACCUGGGGGCUGCGCUUGAUACUGGUGAGCUUGAAUGCGGGAGAGGAUAGUGGAAUUCCCAGUGUAGAGGUGAAAUUCGUAGAUAUUGGGAGGAACACCGGUGGCGAAGGCGGCUACCUGGACCGGUACUGACGCUGAGGCGCGAAAGCUAGGGUAGCAAACAGG
rnacentral:rRNA from 1 species